CCCUUAGAUGUCCUGGGCCGCACGCGCGUUACACUGAUGCAUUCAACGAGCUUAUAACCUUGGCCGAGAGGCCUGGGCAAUCUUGUUAACGUGCAUCGUGAUAGGGAUAGAUUAUUGAAAAUAUUAAUCUUGAACGAGGAAUUCCUAGUAAACGCAGAUCAUCAAUCUGCAUUGAUUACGUCCCUGCCCUUUGUACACACCGCCCGUCGCACCUACCGAUUGGAUGGUCCGGUGAAGCCUCGGGAUUGUGGUUCUUGCCGCUUUAUUGUGGCGUGACCGCGAGAACUUGUCUAAACCUUAUCAUCUAGAGGAAGGUGAAGUCGUAACA
rnacentral:rRNA from 1 species